AAAACUACACUUUUGGGAACCAUUUUUAUAGUAUGUUACCAGAGAAGUGUUUCUGAAUAGUAUAGGACAUAAGAGACCCUGAUGAGCUGCAGCGCUCACUUCUGCAGUGUGAAGUUGGUCAGUGGUGCCACCUGGCGGACGUACUGCUUGCCAUUGAAGAUUGUUCCUUUCUUCCUCAGGAGGGAAGGGACACAAGCUGAGGG
rnacentral:snoRNA from 1 species